ensembl:lncRNA
AAAACAACAGCCGACUGCACAAGACUGUUCCUUGUUUGUUUGUAUUUUUAUUGGAGUUGUUUUGAAUAACUUGCCCAGACAAUGCAGUUGAAAAUGAGCCGGUUGGCUAAAACCGUCACUUUUACUGAAACGUUGAUUAACCUAGAGUCUAAAGCCAGGGGAGGGGGGGGUUCUACUAAGCUAUAAGGAAUUGUUUAAGAAGGUCAUACAAAGGAUCAAUUAGCUAUUGUAUUUUAUAUUUUAAGACCCCUUGAAGGAUUCCAGAAAUAUACGUAAAAAAACAUAUUUUGGGCCUUACUGCUAAUGGCCCAUACAAACACAUUGAAUAACAGAUUCACUAUAUGGAACAACAGAUAGUCUCCCCCAAAAUAAUCUAAAGGAAGUUUGUGUCUGUCAUAAAUCUGAGAGAUAUAAGAAAGAUCAGGAAACAUUUUUAUUUGAUUUUACAUGUACUUAACCAUUUUUUUUAGCACUAAACAGUCUCCAUAUAGACUUCCAUAAAUGUUUUCAACUGGUACCAGGGACCAUCAGAUGAGUCUUGUGAGGACAAUGGGCGUCUUAGAGCAAAACAACCUACAUGUAUGUAUUUGUGAGAUGUGGAAGUGUGACAUGGAUUGAGAUGCAUCUACAGAAAAUAAUUAUUGGGUAGGGUGACUGGGUUAUUGGGUAGGGUAACUAACUGGGUUAGUGGGUAGGGUAACAGGGUUAGUGGGUAGGGUAACUAACUGGGUUAGUGGGUAGGGUAACAGGGUUAGUGGGUAGGGUAACUAACUGGGUUAUUGGGUAGGGUAACUAACUGGGUUAGUGGGUAGGGUAACUAACUGGGUUAGUGGGUAGGGUAACUAACUGGGUUAUUGGGUAGGGUAACUAACUGGGUUAGUGGGUAGGGUAACUAACUGGGUUAGUGGGUAGGGUAACUAACUGGGUUAUUGGGUAGGGUGACUGGGUUAGUGGGUAGGGUAACUAACUGGGUUAGUGGGUAGGGUAACAGGGUUAGUGGGGUAACUAACUGGGUUAUUGGGUAGGGUGACUGGGUUAGUGGGUAGGGUAACUAACUGGGUUAUUGGGGUAACUAACUGGGUUAUUGGGUAGGGUGACUGGGUUAGUGGGUAGGGUAACUAACUGGGUUAUUGGGUAGGGUAACUAACUGGGUUAGUGGGUAGGGUGACUGGGUUAUUGGGUAGGGUGACUGGGUUAGUGGGUAGGGUGACUGGGUUAUUGGGUAGGGUGACUGGGUUAGUGGGUAGGGUGACUGGGUUAGUGGGUAGGGUAACUAACUGGGUUAGUGGGUAGGGUAACUGGGUUAGUGGGUAGGGUAACUAACUGGGUUAUUGGGUAGGGUAACUAACUGGGUUAGUGGGUAGGGUAACUAACUGGGUUAUUGGGUAGGGUGACUGGGUUAUUGGGUAGGGUGACUGGGUUAGUGGGUAGGGUGACUGGGUUAUUGGGUAGGGUGACUGGGUUAUUGGGUAGGGUGACUGGGUUAGUGGGUAGGGUGAGAUUGAGUGUCUUCAGACUUUUUGACAAGAUGCAGACUGUUAGAAUCUAGAUUCAGGCUCAUGGAUUUCAAGAUUAAUCCAUGUCAACUGCAUAUCAACGUGAACCUAGCCCGUAGUAGGAAUGUGUUGGAGAGGGGUGUGAUCACAGAAAUACCAAGCUGAAACACACUGCAACACAGAGACAGUGAAACAGGACAGUGAAAGAGACCGAAGCAUUAGGCUCCCCAGUUAAAGAUGCCCUGUGCAGUACAUUUCAGGCUGAACCAUUCUCCCUUGGUCACAAUUUGUUUGGCACAUCGUAUUCCUAAUACUUUUAACACUCAGCCUUUAGAAUGAUUACGUUGUUAUGGGUACAGUAGGACAUCAGAGAGUUAUUAUUUUUCUUUUUGUGUACUUUAAUAACAAGACGUGUCUUUAUUUUGGUGAGGUCUUAAAACAUCUCAUAGCCUUUAUGUUCUAGAGACAGUGAGCCAACCACUGAACUGGAGAGCAACCUGCACACUGAAGACUAUGGCAGCGUCUGAAAUGGAGCCCUCUGCCCUAUAUAGUGCACUACUAUAGACCAGAGCCCUAUUCGCUAUAUAGUGCACUACUAUAGACCAGAGCCCUAUUCCCUAUAUAGUGCGCAACUUUUGACAUAGAGCUCUGGUCAAUAGUAGUGCGCUAUAUAGGGAAUAGGGUUCCAUUUGUUGCUUAGCUAAACCUACAAUAUCUCUUCAGGGUCUACAUUUUAUUUGGCAAGCCUCCAGUUAAAUUAAAAGCAGAGGAAGCUCCUCUUCUACCAUGUCUACAAGGAAUGGGGAUACUCCCAGAUCAGAGGAAGCUCCUCUUCUACCAUGUCUACAAGGAAUGGGGAUA